rnacentral:rRNA from 1 species
GAUGAACGCUAGCGAUAGGCCUAACACAUGCAAGUCGAGGGGCAUCACAUGAAGUAGCAAUACGGAUGGUGGCGACCGGCGCACGGGUGAGUAACACGUAUGCAACCUGCCUUCAACAAGGGGAUAACCCGUUGAAAGACGGACUAAUACCCUAUAACACAGGGGUCCCGCAUGGGAAUAUUUGUUAAAGGACAACCGGUUGAAGAUGGGCAUGCGUUCCAUUAGCUAGUUGGCGGGUAACGCCCACAAGGCAACGAUGGAUAGGGGAACUGAGAGGUUUAUCCCCCACACUGGUACUGAGACACGGACCAGACUCCUACGGGAGGCAGCAGUGAGGAAUAUUGGUCAAUGGACGCAAGUCUGAACCAGCCACGUCGCGUGAAGGAAGACGGCCCUACGGGUUGUAAACUUCUUUUAUACGGGAAUAAAGUGCCCCACGCGUGGGGUUUUGCAUGUACCGUAUGAAUAAGGAUCGGCUAACUCCGUG